rnacentral:lncRNA from 1 species
CAUCUACGGCACCCGGCUGGUGGUGCUGCCCUUCCGCAGGGAGAGCCUGGCCGAGGAGCAUGAGGGGCUCGUGGGUGAGGGGUGAGCACUGGGGUCACGGCUGGGUCUGAGAGGCGUGGAGCUUGGUUCCCCUCUGUGUGGCCCACCCUGACGUCCCUGUGCCCCCAGGCAGAGGUCCAGCUUCCUGCCUAGCUAUAUCAUCGAUGUGCGGGCCCUGGACGAGAAGCUGCUCAACAUCAUUGACCUGCAGUUCCUGCAUGGCUAUUACGAGCCCACCCUGCUCAUCCUGUUCGAGCCCAACCAGACUUGGCCCGGGUGAGGCCCAGGGAUGCCCUCUUUGCUGUGGUCCCAGCUGCCUGGGCAGAGGGGACAGGGACGUGUAGCUCCCGCAGAGGGUGGAAGUGGGACCCCAGCCUUGGGGGGUGCUGCGAGUCCAGCUGACCCACCUACUACUCCAGGCGGGUGGCAGUGCGACAGGACACCUGUUCCAUUGUGGCCAUCUCACUGAACAUCACGCAGAAGGUCCACCCUGUCAUCUGGUCCCUCACCAGCCUGCCUUUUGACUGCACCCAGGCCCUGGCUGUGCCCAAGCCCAUAGGUGAGGAGGGCCCAGCAGUGCCCAGUGGUCCUGGGGGGGAGCAGUGAGCCUGCCUACCAGCCCGUGUCUGUCCCCAGGUGGGGUCGUGGUCUUCGCUGUCAACUCGCUGCUGUACCUGAACCAAAGUGUCCCCCCAUAUGGCGUGGCUCUCAACAGCCUCACUAUGGGCACCACUGCCUUCCCACUGCGUAAGUGUAGCUGACUAUUAGUGGGUGGGGCUGUGGGUGGGGCAGGGCCUCCAGCCAGCUUGACACCUUCCUCACAGGCACUCAGGAGGGCGUACGGAUCACCCUGGACUGCGCCCAGGCCGCCUUCAUUUCCUAUGACAAGAUGGUCAUUUCCCUCAAGGGUGGCGAGAUGUGAGCCCCUGGCCCUGUCUGCCCUGAGACCCCCACAUCCCCUCCCCUGCUCAUUCAGCACCCCCCACCCCUGCCCUCCAACAUCCUUCAUCCCCAGCCCUACUCAGCAGCCCGCCCCGCCCACAGCUAUGUGCUGACACUCGUCACAGACGGCAUGCGCAGCGUCCGUGCCUUCCACUUUGACAAGGCAGCCGCCAGUGUCCUCACCACCAGUGUGAGUAGGGGCAGGGGUGGAGGUCUUGCACUGGGUCCAGGUCUGGCCUCCUCUCAUCCACACGCCCGCCCUCAGAUGGUCACCAUGGAGCCUGGGUACCUGUUCCUGGGCUCGCGCCUGGGCAAUUCCCUCCUCCUCAAGUACACAGAGAAGCUGCAGGAGCCCCCAGCCAGUGCUGUCCGCGAGGCUGCUGACAAGGUGGGUGCUCAUGGUGGUGCCCAGGUGCUUGGCCACCUCCCCUUGGUGUAAAGCAGCCUGGAAAUGCUGUUCACCUCUGUCUCCCGCCUCACAGGAAGAGCCUCCCUCCAAGAAGAAGCGGGUGGACCCCACAGUGGGCUGGUCAGGUGAGAGCUGGACCGGUUGGGUGGGGUGGGUCUGGGAGCCAGGGCAAGGCUCAAGUGGGCUGUGUGCGCUACAGGGGGCAAGUCCGUGCCACAGGACGAGGUGGACGAGAUUGAAGUGUACGGCAGUGAGGCCCAGUCAGGCACACAGCUGGCCACCUACUCCUUUGAGGUGAGACUGGGGACAGCCGUGGAUGCCCGCCCCCUCCCACCACCUGACUGCCACUGUGUCUUCAGGUGUGUGACAGCAUGCUCAACAUCGGACCCUGCGCCAAUGCUGCUGUGGGCGAGCCCGCCUUCCUCUCCGAAGAGGUGCCUGGGGCCUGGGCUUGGGUUGGGGGCAGGAGCGGGGUUGGGGCAGCAUCUUUACCCCGACCUGUGCAGUUUCAGAACAGCCCUGAGCCAGACCUGGAGAUUGUGGUUUGCUCCGGCUAUGGGAAGAACGGGGCCCUAUCAGUGCUGCAGGUGUGUAGGGCAGGGGGGGUGGGCACCUGCGGGCAGCACCUGAGUAGGCUGACCCCAUCCCACCCUAUCUUCAUUCCAGAAGAGUAUCCGGCCCCAGGUAGUGACAACCUUUGAACUUCCUGGCUGCUAUGACAUGUGGACAGUCAUUGCCCCUGUGCGCAAGGAGGAGGUAGGUGGGACCCUAGGUGAUAGUGACUGUGGUGGCCUGAGGGCACCUGGAUCCAGUGGUCAUAGCCAUCACAGCUCUCUGUCCUCCCUGUCCUUGGCCCGUGCAGGAGGAGGCACCUAAGGCAGAGGGCCCAGAGCAGGAGCCGAGCACCCCUGAAGCAGAAGAUGAUGGCCGGAGACAUGGCUUCCUCAUUCUGAGCCGGGAAGACUCAACAAUGGUGAAGGGCGGGGUCUGGAUGUGGGCGUCUGGGGUUCCCCGGGGAAGGGCACAACUCACUACGUUACCUACAGAUCCUUCAGACUGGCCAGGAGAUCAUGGAACUGGACACCAGUGGCUUUGCCACACAGGGCCCCACGGUUUUUGCUGGAAACAUUGGGGACAAUCGCUACAUUGUCCAAGUGUCACCACUGGGCAUCCGCUUGCUAGAAGGAGGUAGGUGGGCAAGUGUAGGGAAGCGCGUCCUGGGGAGUAUGCUGCAUUGGCCACCCUGUGCUGACCACCCUGUGCCCACAGUGAAUCAGCUGCACUUCAUCCCUGUGGACCUGGGUGCCCCCAUCGUGCAGUGCGCUGUGGCCGACCCCUAUGUGGUCAUCAUGAGCGCCGAGGGCCGUGUUACCAUGUUCCUGCUCAAGAGUGAUUCGUAUGGUGGCCGCCACCACCGCCUUGCACUGCACAAGCCUCCACUGCACCAUGUAGGCCUCACCCUCUGUGUCUGCCAUCCCUGCCUAUGAUCCCCUAUCCCCACUGUCCCCGACCUACACUGGGCUUUGUCUCUCCCUGCAGCAGUCCAAGGUGAUCACACUCUGCCUGUAUCGUGAUGUCAGCGGCAUGUUCACCACCGAGAGCCGCCUGAGUGGGGCCCGUGAUGAGAUGGGGGGCCGCAGUGGUUCAGAGGCCGAAGGACUGGGCUCAGAGACCAGGUGUGCAGGGGGCCAGGGUGCAGGAGACCUGGGUCUCUGUGGCAGAUUGAGACAUGUCUGUGUCUUCAGCCCUACAGUGGAUGACGAGGAGGAGAUGCUCUAUGGGGACUCAGGCUCCCUCUUCAGCCCCAGCAAAGAGGAGGCCCGGAGGAGCAGCCAGCCCCCUGCUGACCGAGACCCUGCACCCUUUCGGGCAGAGCCCACCCACUGGUGCCUGCUGGUGCGAGAGAACGGCACCAUGGAGGUAGGUGCACACAUGUGGCUCAGCAGCCCUGGCAGCAUGGCAGGCCCUAUCGUCACUGACUGCUGUCCCCCACCAGAUCUACCAGCUUCCAGACUGGCGGCUGGUGUUCCUGGUGAAGAACUUCCCUGUGGGGCAGCGGGUCCUGGUGGACAGUUCCUUUGGACAGCCUACCACGCAGGGUGAGGCCCGCAAGGAAGAGGCCACGCGCCAGGGGGAGCUGCCCCUGGUCAAGGAGGUGCUGCUGGUUGCUCUGGGGAGUCGCCAGAGCAGGCCCUACCUGCUGGUGAGCCCUUUGGUGCCUGCCCAGAGGCUGGGACCUGCCCUCACAGCCCAGCCCAUUCCUCCACUCUGUCCUCGGGGCCCAGCCCCACCUCGUGGCCCACCCUGUCUCACUUCCAGGUGCAUGUGGACCAGGAGCUGCUUAUCUAUGAGGCUUUUCCCCAUGACUCUCAGCUUGGCCAGGGCAAUCUCAAAGUUCGCUUCAAGAAGGUGCAGCUGCUAGACCCUUUUGGGGUGGGUUGGGAGGGGUCCAGGCUACAGGGUCUGAAGGGCCUGGCGUUCAUCAACACCUUCACCAGGUCCCCCACAACAUCAAUUUCCGUGAAAAGAAGGCAAAACCCUCCAAGAAGAAGGCAGAAGGUGGCAGUGUGGAGGAGGGUUCUGGGGCCCGGGGACGUGUGGCACGUUUCCGCUACUUCGAGGACAUUUAUGGCUAUUCUGGGGUAGGCAGGCAGCUUUGUUUGGGCUUGGGGGUAGGGGAACAGGACCUUGCCCACAUGUUCUCACAGUGUCUGUCUCCAGGUGUUCAUCUGUGGCCCCUCACCCCACUGGCUCCUAGUGACUGGCCGGGGGGCUCUGCGGCUGCACCCCAUGGGCAUCGAUGGCCCCAUCGACUCCUUCGCCCCAUUCCACAAUGUCAAUUGUCCCCGAGGCUUUCUGUAUUUCAACAGACAGGUAGGAAGGUUAACUCUGGCCGCACCACAAGCACUGGUACUGCCCUGGCAAAGCUAGGCGCUAGGGACAGGAGGGCUCCUCAGCUGCAGCACAUCCCAGAGGACCAGGGAUGACUAUCUAGAGGAGGGUAGGGCCCAGGAGGUGGGAUCUGGGGCUUGAGGCUGGAGCAGUUGGCAGUGGAGGCCUGGCUGAUGGGGCAUACCCUGAAAGCCCUUGCCUCAUCUGUGACACCCACAUGGCAGCAAUGACCACCUGAGUCACUGACAGACUCUGGUGUUGAGUGCUUCCAAGGGGCUAAUGCACUCAGGACUGGACAGAAGCUGAGGCUGGGGCUGGCAGGGUCUCCCUCUGCCUGUGUUCUUCAGUCCCUGGCAUGGCCAGUCUCAGUCAUGUGGCUUUUAGUCUCUAGUGUCCUCUGGGCUUGGACUCCCAUGCCCUGUGCUGUAUUCCCCAGCCAGAAGGAUGGACAGGAGCCUACUGAUAGAAGGCAUGGGGACUGACGACCAAGGCUACAGCUCUUCCAGACCUUCCCCAGACUCGGUGACCCUAGCCAGGCAGUAGCGAGGCCUGCAGCCCUAGGCCUUGCUGACUAUUUCCACCCACCCCAGGGUGAGCUGCGGAUCAGUGUCCUGCCUGCCUACUUGUCCUACGAUGCCCCAUGGCCCGUCAGGAAGAUCCCACUGCGCUGCACGGCUCACUAUGUGGCUUACCAUGUGGAGUCCAAGGUCUGUCCCCUCCCCCAGCACUCCCUCCCCCAGGCACCCCAGGCGUGUGACACCAUUCAACUCCUAGGUGUACGCCGUGGCCACCAGCACCAAUACACCCUGCACCCGCAUCCCGCGCAUGACUGGUGAGGAAAAGGAGUUUGAGGCCAUUGAGAGAGGUAUGUGCCACCAGGGGUGGGGUGGACCAUGCCCAGGGCUGGCUACGACCACUGCCUCCUUGUCCCUGCAGAUGACAGGUACAUCCACCCCCAACAGGAGGCCUUCUCCAUCCAGCUCAUCUCCCCAGUCAGCUGGGAGGCCAUUCCCAAUGCCAGGUGAUGUUGGGCCCAGUGGGGGCUUCCGGGUGCCAGCAGGGCAGGACUAGGGUGUCCUGAUACAGCCUGUCCUUGUGCAGAAUUGAGCUGGAGGAAUGGGAACACGUCACAUGCAUGAAGACAGUGUCGCUGCGCAGUGAGGAGACUGUGUCGGGCCUCAAGGGCUAUGUGGCUGCUGGGACCUGCCUCAUGCAGGGAGAGGAGGUCACGUGCCGCGGGCGGGUAAGCAGCUGCCAGGUGGGGACAGGCGGCCCUUGGCAGCCUGUCUGCCAUCCCCACAUGUUCCCUUGCCCUGCCAGAUCCUCAUCAUGGACGUGAUUGAGGUGGUGCCCGAACCUGGCCAGCCCCUAACCAAGAACAAGUUCAAGGUCCUAUACGAAAAGGAACAGAAGGGGCCUGUGACCGCCCUGUGCCACUGCAAUGGUCACCUGGUGUCAGCCAUUGGCCAGAAGGUACACAGCUACUCCUCCCUGCUGUGUUUCUGCCUGCUCACCCUGCCCACUCCACUGACCCUUCUGCCCCCUAGAUCUUCCUGUGGAGCCUGCGGGCCAGUGAGCUGACGGGCAUGGCCUUCAUCGACACCCAGCUGUACAUCCACCAGAUGAUCAGCGUCAAGAACUUCAUCUUAGCUGCAGAUGUCAUGAAGAGCAUCUCACUGCUGCGCUACCAAGAAGAGAGCAAGACGCUGAGCCUGGUGUCCCGGGUACUUCAUGUGGUCUUGGGGUACAGGUGAGAGUCAUACUCGGGCUCCU